GUCCCUCCACGAGCUCAUCUGCCAUAGCUCAACUACCAACUGCUACUACCAGCUGCAACUCCAGUUCAUCUACUACUGAUACAAUGGUCUCGACCAGCAAGAGCAUAAAGUGAAGUCAGUACACCAACCUUCCAGUCCCGAGUUCAACAGCCCAUUAUGCCGAGUAGCUAGAUAAGUGAAUGCUCAGCUGCAACUCCACUACUACCAUCAUUAUUCAUUCCCUCGUCUUCCACUCAAAUAGAAACUAUACUACUCUAUACUACUAGGUAAGAAGCGGCACUCUCCCUCUUGUUUCGGCUUUUCAACUAUAAUAUAACAUA
rnacentral:lncRNA from 1 species